rnacentral:rRNA from 2 species
AGCGACUAAGCGUACACGGUGGAUGCCCUGGCAGUCAGAGGCGAUGAAGGGCGUGCUAAUCUGCGAUAAGCGCCGGUAAGGUGAUAUGAACCGUUAUAACCGGCGAUACCCGAAUGGGGAAACCCAGUGUGAUUCGUCACACUAUCAUUAACUGAAUCCAUAGGUUAAUGAGGCGAACCGGGGGAACUGAAACAUCUAAGUACCCCGAGGAAAAGAAAUCAACCGAGAUUCCCCCAGUAGCGGCGAGCGAACGGGGAGGAGCCCAGAGCCUGAAUCAGCAUGUGUGUUAGUGGAAGCGUCUGGAAAGGCGCGCGAUACAGGGUGACAGCCCCGUACACAAAAGCGCAUGUGCUGUGAGCUCGAUGAGUAGGGCGGGACACGUGGUAUCCUGUCUGAAUAUGGGGGGACCAUCCUCCAAGGCUAAAUACUCCUGACUGACCGAUAGUGAACCAGUACCGUGAGGGAAAGGCGAAAAGAACCCCGGCGAGGGGAGUGAAAAAGAACCUGAAACCGUGUACGUACAAGCAGUGGGAGCACCCUUUGGGUGUGACUGCGUACCUUUUGUAUAAUGGGUCAGCGACUUAUAUUCUGUAGCAAGGUUAACCGAAUAGGGGAGCCGGAGGGAAACCGAGUCUUAACCGGGCGUUAAGUUGCAGGGUAUAGACCCGAAACCCGGUGAUCUAGCCAUGGGCAGGUUGAAGGUUGGGUAACACUAACUGGAGGACCGAACCGACUAAUGUUGAAAAAUUAGCGGAUGACCUGUGGCUGGGGGUGAAAGGCCAAUCAAACCGGGAGAUAGCUGGUUCUCCCCGAAAGCUAUUUAGGUAGCGCCUCGUGAAUUCAUCUCCGGGGGUAGAGCACUGUUUCGGCUAGGGGGCCAUCCCGGCUUACCAACCCGAUGCAAACUGCGAAUACCGGAGAAUGUUAUCACGGGAGACACACGGCGGGUGCUAACGUCCGUCGUGAAGAGGGAAACAACCCAGACCGCCAGCUAAGGUCCCAAAGUCAUGGUUAAGUGGGAAACGAUGUGGGAAGGCCCAGACAGCCAGGAUGUUGGCUUAGAAGCAGCCAUCAUUUAAAGAAAGCGUAAUAGCUCACUGGUCGAGUCGGCCUGCGCGGAAGAUGUAACGGGGCUAAACCAUGCACCGAAGCUGCGGCAGCGACACUGUGUGUUGUUGGGUAGGGGAGCGUUCUGUAAGCCUGUGAAGGUGUGUCGUGAGGCAUGCUGGAGGUAUCAGAAGUGCGAAUGCUGACAUAAGUAACGAUAAAGCGGGUGAAAAGCCCGCUCGCCGGAAGACCAAGGGUUCCUGUCCAACGUUAAUCGGGGCAGGGUGAGUCGACCCCUAAGGCGAGGCCGAAAGGCGUAGUCGAUGGGAAACGGGUUAAUAUUCCCGUACUUGGUGUUACUGCGAAGGGGGGACGGAGAAGGCUAUGUUGGCCGGGCGACGGUUGUCCCGGUUUAAGCGUGUAGGUGUGUGUUCCAGGUAAAUCCGGUUCACUUUAACACUGAGGCGUGACGACGAGGCACUACGGUGCUGAAGCAACAAAUGCCCUGCUUCCAGGAAAAGCCUCUAAGCAUCAGGUAACAUCAAAUCGUACCCCAAACCGACACAGGUGGUCAGGUAGAGAAUACCAAGGCGCUUGAGAGAACUCGGGUGAAGGAACUAGGCAAAAUGGUGCCGUAACUUCGGGAGAAGGCACGCUGACACGUAGGUGAAGUGAUUUACUCAUGGAGCUGAAGUCAGUCGAAGAUACCAGCUGGCUGCAACUGUUUAUUAAAAACACAGCACUGUGCAAACACGAAAGUGGACGUAUACGGUGUGACGCCUGCCCGGUGCCGGAAGGUUAAUUGAUGGGGUCAGCGCAAGCGAAGCUCCUGAUCGAAGCCCCGGUAAACGGCGGCCGUAACUAUAACGGUCCUAAGGUAGCGAAAUUCCUUGUCGGGUAAGUUCCGACCUGCACGAAUGGCGUAAUGAUGGCCAGGCUGUCUCCACCCGAGACUCAGUGAAAUUGAACUCGCUGUGAAGAUGCAGUGUACCCGCGGCAAGACGGAAAGACCCCGUGAACCUUUACUAUAGCUUGACACUGAACAUUGAGCCUUGAUGUGUAGGAUAGGUGGGAGGCUUUGAAGUGUGGACGCCAGUCUGCAUGGAGCCGACCUUGAAAUACCACCCUUUAAUGUUUGAUGUUCUAACGUGGACCCGUUACCCGGGUUGCGGACAGUGUCUGGUGGGUAGUUUGACUGGGGCGGUCUCCUCCUAAAGAGUAACGGAGGAGCACGAAGGUUGGCUAAUCCUGGUCGGACAUCAGGAGGUUAGUGCAAUGGCAUAAGCCAGCUUGACUGCGAGCGUGACGGCGCGAGCAGGUGCGAAAGCAGGUCAUAGUGAUCCGGUGGUUCUGAAUGGAAGGGCCAUCGCUCAACGGAUAAAAGGUACUCCGGGGAUAACAGGCUGAUACCGCCCAAGAGUUCAUAUCGACGGCGGUGUUUGGCACCUCGAUGUCGGCUCAUCACAUCCUGGGGCUGAAGUAGGUCCCAAGGGUAUGGCUGUUCGCCAUUUAAAGUGGUACGCGAGCUGGGUUUAGAACGUCGUGAGACAGUUCGGUCCCUAUCUGCCGUGGGCGCUGGAGAACUGAGGGGGGCUGCUCCUAGUACGAGAGGACCGGAGUGGACGCAUCACUGGUGUUCGGGUUGUCAUGCCAAUGGCACUGCCCGGUAGCUAAAUGCGGAAGAGAUAAGUGCUGAAAGCAUCUAAGCACGAAACUUGCCCCGA